ACAUGCCUGUCCCCCUGUGAGGAUCAGCCUUUGCAGUAGCAGACUUCUCUCCCAUUCUGUAGGGCCUUCCCUUGUCCUUUCUCGGCUCCCAGCCUAGGACCCCUCCUGGAUAAGGAGGGAAGCCAAGGUGGCCUGUGUGUAACAGGGCUGUGCCUGAAGAGAGGGGCUCCAGGGAUGGAUGGGGAAAUGUGAUAAAAAUUGCACUGGACCCUGGCUCAGCAGAAACCCAGGAGGUAACUGAGCAGCUGGCUUGCGGUCAGAGUUAGUACAAUCCGGUGGUAACAGUAUGUGGUCAUCGUUUGUCUGUUGAUCUCCUCCAUCUGUCAAGGGUAGUUCAGGUUUAUCAGCGUAUACUGUGGAGGCUGCGGGUGAGUGAAAUUCAUAUGUAGAAAAGUCAAAAGGUGAUGUGAUCUGAUUCUGAUUUGAGUUUAUAGGAUGUUAGAGCAGCAAGGGUUUUGGAGAUCUGUUAAACCCAGAUAUUUUCAACCCAAAUAUUUUCUGAGGUUUUGCAGAAGUAACUCGGGCAAUGUGAGACCCUCAUUGCCCAGAUAACUGCACCGGUUCUGCUUUGAAUGUCUAUUUUGGGGAAUAGCGAGUGGUUAUGAAUGUAGGCUCUAGGGCUGUGGUGGAGUAGCCUGUGUUUGAGAGCUGGUGCUACCCCUUAUUGUCUGUGUGACAGACACUUGACCUUUCAGAGCUUUGGUUUCUUAUAUGUAAAGUGAGUGUCACAACACACAUGUGUUCUGGUUGUUGUGUGAAUAAAUUGUGAUACUGACAAAUAGGAAUAGCCAGUACCAAGUACUUGCAAGGUGCCAGGCAUUUUCCUAAAUUCUUUACCUGCAUUCAUCGGUGAGUUUUAUUACAGAUGAGACACCUGAAGCACAGAAAGAUGGACUUGCCCAGAGUCACAGUUGGCAAUGGGUGGCGCCAGGACUGGAUUCUAGUCAGGACCACAAGUCUUGACCCCAGUGCUAUCCUGCUUCUCAUGAUGGGCCAUAAAAUGAAAGCCUCACAUUUUUAUCUUGCACUGGGCCUUGCACCUUCUGUUCCAGCCUUGCACAGCCAUUCUUCACACUUGGAACCCUCUUCACUGAAGCGCCAUGAAGCUACUCGGACCAUAGCAAUCUAGGAGCCAACUUUCUGCUCUUGAGUCUGGGGUAAUUGCUGGAGAAAUCUUUUCAUUUUAAGAGGGAAUGGUGUAUUUUCCUCACUUUUCUUUGAUUCACCAUAUAUACAUUAUAUAUAUACAAUUCUUUUUCUUAUCAUCCUUGUAACCCAAGUAUAGCAGACUUUCCUGAACCAACUCUGCUUCCAUCCUGAAUGCACUUGAAGGCCAUACUUAGCAUUUUAUGUUAACAGCAUUAGCUAAGACAUAUCCAGCUCUGUGGGGACUAAGUGAAGCAUGGUGUGAAUGGAUGGGAAAGAUAAUCCUUAUCACAUAACAUACAAGAGAAACACAAUAAAAUUGUCCAUUUCAGGAGUUUGUUCUCACCCUGAAAGUUCCACUGCUCUCCAGUUAGCAUAUCACAAUUUUCUUUCUCUUCAUCAUUUCUCAAGAACCCAAAUAUCCUAGACAAUUCAGACCUAAUCCAAAGCUUGCAUACCCAAGUGACUCAACGGCGAGUAGGGAGCCUUGCUUGAAGAACCUGCUGUUCUCCCUCUUGCCUCUUGGUUCAUGGGGGUGGAUGGGGCUCAUUCCUCAUUUUAAGAAGUGUCCAAAAAAAAAAAAGUUUCUAAUAUGCCUUCCAGAAAAAGCAUGUUCCAUCCUAAGGUAUAAUUCUUCCAAAAGAUAUUCCAAAAAGAAUAUCUUCCAAAAAAGAUAUUCUUUUUUUCUUUUUGGAUUUUCCACUUACUUUUUAUUGUUCUGUCAAAUUCUGCAGUUACCUGACUCUCCUA
rnacentral:lncRNA from 1 species